ACCUACAUGUAUAUGCAUAGUAUAACAAAAGAAAGGCUGAUCGUUAUUUUGCAGAAAGCUGAUUUUAUCCUCAUAGCUACCUAAUAGUCAAGUUUUAAUUUGUUUGCUACAAUAACUCACAUAUGGUUGAAUUGGCAUCUCCAACUCCAACCUAUCACCAUUAUUAAGUUUCCCAUCAAGUUUUAUUAAGUGAGUCAUCUGUCAAGAUCAUCCAACAACUGUAAUGGCCUAGCUGCUCAAAAUUGUCCAUAACCGAGGACACGGCUAAUCAUGAUUAGUUUAUACACUCUGCAGAGGUU
rnacentral:lncRNA from 1 species